UACGAAGGGUGCAAGCGUUACUCGGAAUUACUGGGCGUAAAGCGUGCGUAGGUGGUUUGUUAAGUCUGAUGUGAAAUCCCCGGGCUCAACCUGGGAAUGGCAUUGGAUACUGGCAGGCUAGAGUGCGGUAGAGGGUGGUGGAAUUCCCGGUGUAGCAGUGAAAUGCGUAGAGAUCGGGAGGAACAUCUGUGGCGAAGGCGGCCACCUGGACCAGCACUGACACUGAGGCACGAAAGCGUGGGGAGCAAACAGG
rnacentral:rRNA from 1 species